GACGAACGCUGGCGGCGUGCCUAAAAAAUGAAAGUCGAACGCAGUGGGGACGGGUGAGUAACACGUGGGUAACCUCCCAUCAGAGGGGAUAACACUUGGAAACAGGUGCUAAACCGAUACUGAUGGAUGAACCCGCGGUGCAUUAGCUAGAGGGUGGGGUAACGGCUCACAAAGGCCACGAUGCAUAGCCGACCUGAGAGUGUGAUCGGCCACACUGGGACUGAGACAAGGCCCAGACUCCUACGGGAGGCAGCAGUAGGGAAUCUUCGGCAAUGGACGAAAGUCUGACCGAGCAAGGCCGCGUGAGUGAAGAAGGUUUUCGGGUCGUAAAGCUCUGUUGUUAGGGAGGCGGUAUCUAACCAGAAAGCCACGGCUUCCUCCUUUCCAGCAGCCGCGGUAAUAC
rnacentral:rRNA from 1 species